rnacentral:rRNA from 1 species
AUGCCGGAUGGGCUCCAGCGCUGGAAGGUGAUGGGGGAUUUCUGGGCCGAGACAAUCAUCUAUGUCGCGCCCUCGCACUCCACCGCCAAGCAACACAUGCAACAUCUUGAGAAUGGUGGGGAGUUCCUCACCCACAUCUGGGCUCUGCUUUCUCAUGCUGGCAUCCUGAACCUUAACAGGGACAAGGAUCAGGGGGCACAGGAAGAGCCUGUAUCUGUAUGA